ensembl:snRNA U4 U4 spliceosomal RNA
AGCUUUUCGCAGUGGCGGUAUCGUAGCCAAUGAGGUUUAUCUGAGGUGUGAUUAUUGCUAAUUGAAAACUUUUCCCUGGUGGCUCUGCAAUUGACUAAGAGCGGCAGGACAUUGUCUCCCAGUUCCAUUUUAAACAAAGUUUCCCUUUUUAAUUUUCCCAAGCAGAGGAAGAACU